rnacentral:rRNA from 1 species
UGGCCUACGGGGGGCAGCAGUGAGGAAUAUUGGUCAAUGGGCGGGAGCCUGAACCAGCCAAGUCGCGUGAGGGACGACGGUCCUAUGGAUUGUAAACCUCUUUUGUCGGGGAACAAAGGCGCCCACGGGUGGGCGGAUGAGUGUACCCGAAGAAAAAGCAUCGGCUAACUCCGUGCCAGCAGCCGCGGUAAUACGGAGGAUGCGAGCGUUAUCCGGAUUUAUUGGGUUUAAAGGGUGCGUAGGCGGUCUUUUAAGUCUGAUGUGAAAGCCUUCGGCUUAACCGGAGUAGUGCAUAGGAAACUGGG